GUAGGUGGCAAGCGUUGUCCGGGAAUUAUUGGGGCGUAAAGCGCGCGCAGGCGGUUCUCUAAGUCUGAUGUGAAAGCCCACGGGCUCAACCGUGGAGGGUCAUUGGAAACUGGAGAACUUGAGUACAGAAGAGGAAAGCGGAAUUCCACGUGUAGCGGUGAAAUGCGUAGAGAUGUGGAGGAACACCAGUGGCGAAGGCGGCUUUCUGGUCUGUAACUGACGCUGAGGCGCGAAAGCGUGGGGAGCAAACAGGAUUAGAUACCCUGGUAGUCCACGCCGUAAACGAUGAGUGCUAAGUGUUAGGGGGUUUCCGCCCCUUAGUGCUGCAGCUAACGCAUUAAGCACUCCGCCUGGGGAGUACGGCCGCAAGGCUG
rnacentral:rRNA from 1 species